UACGUAGGGGGCAAGCGUUGUCCGGAUUUAUUGGGCGUAAAGAGCGUGUAGGCGGCCAUACAGGUCCGUUGUGAAAACUCGAGGCUUAACCUCGAGACGUCGAUGGAAACCGUAUGGCUAGAGUACGGAAGAGGCGAGUGGAAUUCCUGGUGUAGCGGUGGAAUGCGCAGAUAUCAGGAGGAACACCAAUAGCGAAGGCAGCUCGCUGGGACGUUACUGACACUGAGGCGCGAAAGCGUGGGGAGCGAACAGG
rnacentral:rRNA from 1 species